rnacentral:rRNA from 1 species
GAAGGCCAGCGCGGCUAUACAUGCAAGUCGGACGGGAUCCAUCGAUAGCUUGCUAUCAAUGGUGAGAGUGGCGCACGGGUGCGUAACGCGUGAGCAACCUGCCUCCAUCAGGGGGAUAGCCUCUCGAAAGAGAGAUUAACACCGCAUAACAUAUUGUUCCGGCAUCGGAGGAUUAUUAAAUAUUUAUAGGAUGGAGAUGGGCUCGCGUGACAUUAGCUUGUUGGUGGGGUAACGGCUUACCAAGGCGACGAUGUCUAGGGGCUCUGAGAGGAGAAUCCCCCACACUGGUACUGAGACACGGACCAGACUCCUACGGGAGGCAGCAGUAAGGAAUAUUGGUCAAUGGGCGGAAGCCUGAACCAGCCAUGCCGCGUGCAGGAUGACUGCCCUAUGGGUUGUAAACUGCUUUUGUCCGGGAAUAAACCUCCUUACGAGUAGGGAGCUGAAUGUACCGGAAGAAUAAGGAUCGGCUAACUCCGUGCCAGCAGCCGCGGUAAUACGGAGGAUCCGAGCGUUAUCCGGAUUUAUUGGGUUUAAAGGGUGCGUAGGCGGCCUGUUAAGUCAGGGGUGAAAUACGGUGGCUCAACCAUCGCAGUGCCUUUGAUACUGACGGGCUUGAAUCCAUAUGAAGUGGGCGGAAUAAGACAAGUAGCGGUGAAAUGCAUAGAUAUGUCUUAGAACUCCGAUUGCGAAGGCAGCUCACUAAGCUGGUAUUGACGCUGAUGCACGAAAGCGUGGGGAUCGAACAGGAUUAGAUACCCUGGUAGUCCACGCCCUAACGAUGAUAACUCGAUGUUGGCGAUAGACAGCCAGCGUCCCAGCGAAAGCGUUAAGUUAUCCACCUGGGGAGUACGCCCGCAAGGGUGAAACUCAAAGGAAUUGACGGGGGCCCGCACAAGCGGAGGAGCAUGUGGUUUAAUUCGAUGAUACGCGAGGAACCUUACCCGGGCUUGAAAGUUAGUGGAGGAUGCAGAGACGCAUCCGUCCUUCGGGACACGAAACUAGGUGCUGCAUGGCUGUCGUCAGCUCGUGCCGUGAGUUGUUGGGUAGUCCCGCAACGAGCGCAACCCCUAUGUCUAGUUGCCAGCAUGUAAUGGUGGGGACUC